AAGUCGUAACAAGGUUUCCGUAGGUGAACCUGCGGAAGGAUCAUUAAAAAAUCCUUUAGCACAUUUUUUGUGCUAAACCUACCCAUGUGAACAUUUAAACCGUGUGCUUUCCGGUGGGUUUCAAGGGCUUCAGUAUGAAGUUCCCCUGCCGGGAAGUAUCUUUUCACCCCUAUUGUUAAUUCAUUGAGUCUAAAGAAAAAUUGUAAAUGAAAAAUACAACUUUCAACAACGGAUCUCUUGGCUCUC
rnacentral:misc_RNA from 1 species